GAUGAAGAACGCAGCGAAAUGCGAUAACUAAUGUGAAUUGCAGAAUUCAGUGAAUCAUCGAGUCUUUGAACGCACAUUGCGCCCCCUGGUAUUCCGGGGGGCAUGCCUGUUCGAGCGUCAUUUCACCACUCAAGCCUCGCUUGGUAUUGGGCAACGCGGUCCGCCGCGUGCCUCAAAUCGACCGGCUGGGUCUUCUGUCCCCUAAGCGUUGUGGAAACUAUUCGCUAAAGGGUGUUCGGGAGGCUACGCCGUAAAACAACCCCAUUUCUAAGGUUGACCUCGGAUCAGGUAGGGAUACCCGCUGAACUUAAGCAUAUCAAUAAGCGGAGGA
rnacentral:misc_RNA from 1 species